rnacentral:pre_miRNA from 1 species
AUAGGAAUCAACUUGGAACUUGGUGAAAUGUAGAUUCUGAUUCAUUAGGUCUGAGGGACCUGAGAUAGUCUAUUCAUUAGGGACCUGUGAUAGUCUACAAUUCCAGUAAGUUCUCAGAUUGAUACUAAU